GAACGCCCAGCGUUCGCACUUUGUGCUAAUAAUAUAUAUUAUUAGCACAAAGUGCGAACGCUGGCGUUG
rfam:Macropodid herpesvirus 1 isolate MaHV1.3076/08, complete genome.